GGGGCACCACCUGUCCAGCUUUCCAUCAUAUACCUAAGACCUGGCACUGUGCCUGGACCACGGAAGCCCUAACAAAAUGUUCAACCGUGGAGUUUGGUGCCUUUUCCAAGAAGAUUUCCUGAUGAAGCCAUGCCUUGGAGAUGCAACCACCUUCUACUAGAGUUACCAGUACAGAGGGCCACUUCCCUGCUGGGCUGGAACUCUGCCUUCAUCCUGCCACCUUGUUUAAUGCCUGGCAUUCAGGAAUCACUGAACCAAUAUGGAGCAGAAUUAAAGUUACUAAAGGAAGCUGCAGGACAUCAGGAAAACCCCACGACCUUCCUAACUCUUCUACCACAUCCUCCCCUUCCUGUGCCUCUCCUCAACCCAGCAUCAGCACCCAUUUCCUGCAGGCACAGCUCCUCCUCUUUGUCCUCAUCCUCGUGGUGUUUGCAGGCCACACAGGCAGCCGAGGCCUCCUGUUGGGGACCUGCUCCUGCCUCCUUGGCCCAAGACAGGAGCCCAGCAGCUGCUGAAGCUGGACCCAUGAAAGGGAAACCUGUGGUCCAUCUCCACCUCCCUCAUGUGCCUCCUGAAGAGACUCGGCCUCUCCCAUUUGUUUUUGUCAGUGGCUUUGAAGCUAUUUGGGAGACACUUUGAGAUAGCCUGGGAAACAGCAAUAAUCCAAUUGAAGCAUCUGACACUCUGGACUGGUGGCCUCUUGACGGGGAGGCAGUGGACACAUGGGGGUUGUUGCUGGUUUCGUCUGUGAUAUGAAUUUUACUGGCUGUCGAUAUCUACAGGGAAAACACUCGCGGUGAGAUUCACAGAUAAAAACCAGUGGCCUCUGCUUCCUCCCUGGAGUGUUUUCACGAGAAAUUGGUUUCUGGGCAGGGAGGGGAGAAGACUCCUUCUUUUUCGUCACUCACCUCGAGGGAAUUUGGAGGGGUUCGAGACAGGAAAAGGUGAAGGGAGGGGAAGUAAGUCGGAGGAAUCACCGGCGUGUGAAAAGUCUCAAAUAUCUCCCUGAGCGAGCGAGUCCUUUCAGGGUGAGGGACUGAGCCCUCCUUCCUGUCUUGAUUUUUCCUUCUGCUGUUACCCUCAGUCCAUUUUCUCACUUUCUCUGUUUACUCUGGAGGUCAUUGUCACUGUCCCAUCUCUGGGCAUCUCAGGGGGUCCUCUGAGCCCAAACAAAGCCAGAAACUGUCCCUUGGAAAUCAGAGCAGAAGUCCCCGCAACAUCAAAGCUCACAGCAAGAACUUGCUGACAGAGCUGAGCUGGCACCCGGGGAUGGGAUGCUGCGGCUCUUCCGAUCUCCCCGCUCCAAGUGGCUCCUGGCACCCACUACCCCAUUCCCAUUUCGGCCUCCCUCGCCCACCAUCCAGCCACCCCAGUCAACCCCUUCCCAGGUGCACCUGAGUCAUAGCAUCGGCUCAAGCCCCCCACACCGCCCCAGGCCAGGGCCCCAGCAGGCUCUCCCCACACCCCACUCCAGGCUGACUUGACUGUGUGAUAGCUGGAAAAAGUUAAAUGCUCUUCCCUUCAUUAUCAGAAAGAGUUUUAUUCUGACUGAAGUGAACAAUAUGAAGAGACACUACAGAGCUCUGGCGAAGGAAGAAAAGUUUCUUAUAUCCACAGAGCCACACUUCAAAGUGUCCUGUGAAAAGGUUCCACUUUAAUUAGGGGGAGGAAAUUGCCAUGUAACUUAAUUAAUAUCAAAAACAUUUUUUCCUUCAAUACAAGAAAGAAAGAUGGCUACAGAGAGAGGGGGAAAGGAACUGACAGUGAGUGUGGACAGGCCUGCUCGUGGCCAGCAUAAUGAUAAACUUUGUUUCUAAUUACUCCAAAUAUGUCCUAGGUUCAAUUAAGAACUUUAAAGCCACAACGGGUUCUUUGUCACAAUGGAGGUCUUCCUCCUCCAUCCCUGAUGCACUAGCCUUUAUACACAAUAAAGUGAAGGCCUGAGAUGGUUAUAGUUCAGGAGGGAACACAGAAACCCUGUUUUAUUUCAAUUAUCUAGGAAGCAUUUGCAGGAAGUGGUUUGGGAGAGUGGGAUCAUCAGCUCCAAGUGCCUUUGAUGGACAUGCUCCUUCCUCCAGGGACCCCGACCCUGUCAAGUCACCUUCCUCCCUCCCAGCUGCUCUGGGGGAGACUCCUGGGCAUUUGCCUGGUUUCCCUUGUCUCUUCACAGUCAAGCCACCAGAUCUCUCCUACCUCCAAAUUAUCUCUCAAAUCUGUCCUCUUCUCUACUGCCACCAUACAGAGUCACUUCUCAUCUCCCCCAAAGGAUUUACAAAUAAGCUCCUCACUGGUCUUUUCAUUUUCCUUCUUGCCCACUGGAGCCUAGUCUUCAGCCAACAGCCAAAAUGACCUUUUACAAGACAUAACAUCAUGCCAUUCCUCUGCUCAAAAACCUCUGAUGCUGUCUCGUCAUUCUUGGGAAGAAAACUUAAAGAUUCCUUAGCAAGGACUACCAAGACCCUGCAUGAUUUUGACCCUGUCUAACUCUCUCAUCCUUGUUCUUGACCACUAGCCAGAGAGUCAAGGUCUUUGUCAUCGUGUUCCUUCUGUUUGGGACACUCUUCUAGACCUGCUUCACCCACUAGAUCUCAGCUGAAAUCACUCCUAUUUAACUUUUUUGAGUCCUGACUUAAACAUUGUUUACUCUGGGAAGGAUUAUGAGACACCAUUUCCCCUGCCUCCAUCUAAGUUAAAUCCUCAUAUUACAUACUCCCAUAGAAUACUACACUUCUUUGAAACACACAUCAGAAUUGUAAUCAGUUAACUGUGUGGCCAAAUACUGGUUUGAUAUUUUUCUUUGCCCCUGGACUGUAAGCCAGGUAAAAGCAGAGACCAUGUCUGUUUUGUCACAGUUAUUUGCUCAGUUGCUCACUCAGAAUCACGGCAAACAGUGUUCUAAUCUCCACUGGAUCAUUUCAAUCACAUAGCAAGCCAAUGAGGUGCACCAUCUUAUUAAACCCAUUUCACAGAUAUAGAAUUUGAAGCACAGAGGUCAGAUACUCUCAAAGCCACACAGGUAGCAGAUGGCAGUCUUGCUCCUGAGUCCUGCUUUUCAUCACUGUACUAUGCUCACACGGGAAGAACCACAAUACACAGUUGUUGAAGAAGGAAGGAAGGAAGCCAGGAAAAUGGAUCUCGAAUAGUUGGAGGAAAACUGAUCAGAAAAUACUAGGCAUGACUCUAUGGACCCAGCCCUCCAACUCAUGGAAAUGCCUCAUCCUGCCCAAUACAAUCUGUCUUCAACACUCCCAGGAAAGACUCCAGCUUCAUGACUCUUACUAGGAAAGAGCACAACCUGAGAAUGUGCCCUGAGAAUGUUAAGAUGUAGGUUAAGCUCAGCAGUUUUUAUCUCCUCAUUCUUUGCUCCCAACCAGGCUUCUAGUUCACCCCAUUUCCUUAAACAUGAGAAUAUACAAUAAAUGCAUAGAGUAGGGCUACAGUCCCCAAAUCAUGUAACAAGGUAUCCUGGGUCACCAUAGUGAACUCACAUUCCUGUAGUAUAUGUUAAUUUUUGAAGAGAGACACAAAGCUACUCAACUUCCACUAAACAUUGAGCAAAUUACUAACUCAAAGUAGUUUACAGUUUCAACAUUAGAUCUCACGAUUUCCUGUCUGUUAGGUCAUAUCUUUUUGAAGGUGUGUUUUCUGUGGUUGCUGCGAUAAGAAGCAAGUCCUUCAUAAAAAUCAUUGUGAAACAAAGUGUUGGUGUCCAACAUUUGAGAAGUUGUGCAGUGCCCAACAGGUGCACACAGCCCAUUCGUACAUAAUUAUUGUUUAGGAAUAAAAUAAAAAUGUUUUUUCUUUCAGUUCA